UACAACUAUAAUAGUUUUGUUUGUGGAAACACCACGUAAAUUUAUUACUGUAAUAAAUUUACGUGGUGUUUCCACAAACAAAACUAUUAUAUUUUAUCACC
rnacentral:miRNA from 1 species